rnacentral:rRNA from 1 species
UACAGAGGUCUCAAGCGUUGUUCGGAUUCAUUGGGCGUAAAGGGUGCGUAGGCGGCGCGGUAAGUCGGGUGUGAAAUCUCGGAGCUUAACUCCGAAACUGCAUUCGAUACUGCCGUGCUUGAGGACUGGAGAGGAGACUGGAAUUUACGGUGUAGCGGUGAAAUGCGUAGAUAUCUGGAGGAACACCGGUGGCGAAGGCGGCAUCCUGGACCAACACUGACGCUGAGGAGCGAAAGCGUGGGGAGCAAACAGG